rnacentral:rRNA from 1 species
GAUGAACGCUGGCGGCGUGCCUAAUACAUGCAAGUCGAGCGAACAGAUAAGGAGCUUGCUCCUUUGACGUUAGCGGCGGACGGGUGAGUAACACGUGGGUAACCUACCUAUAAGACUGGGAUAACUUCGGGAAACCGGAGCUAAUACCGGAUAACAUUUGGAACCGCAUGGUUCUAAAGUGAAAGAUGGUUUUGCUAUCACUUAUAGAUGGACCCGCGCCGUAUUAGCUAGUUGGUAAGGUAACGGCUUACCAAGGCAACGAUACGUAGCCGACCUGAGAGGGUGAUCGGCCACACUGGAACUGAGACACGGUCCAGACUCCUACGGGAGGCAGCAGUAGGGAAUCUUCCGCAAUGGGCGAAAGCCUGACGGAGCAACGCCGCGUGAGUGGUGAAGGGUUUCGGCUCGUAAAACUCUGUUAUUAGGGAAGAACAAAUGUGUAAGUAACUGUGCACGUCUUGACGGUACCUAAUCAGAAAGCCACGGCUAACUACGUG